rnacentral:lncRNA from 1 species
GACCGCCACAGUGACUUGCAAGCAACUCACUGCACUUAGGCACUGGACUACCUGAAUUUUUAAUUCAGUGAUGGAAGGCUGCUGGGUGUAGUCAAGUACUUGACUUGUCGGUGCGUGUGUCAAGAUGGGAUUGACCACUCCAGUUUAGGAGCUGUGUACAGUCAUGUUUCAAUUUAGCAAAACCUUGGCCAGGAUAGUCCUUGUGAGGAGUCACAGGACUGUUUGAGUUGAGCACGAUUCGGAUGAUCUGAUCAGGGUUGACAGUUUAACCCUGAGUCGUCCUAAACACAGAGGUCAAAAGGAUGAAUUAUACAGUAACCAUAUUCAUGUACGUUCUGAGUGUUGCGAUUGUGACCAUUCGACCUAUCUGGUCAUCGGGUACAAUUGUUAGAUGGUCACUUCGAUUAGUACAGGAAUUGGUUCCUGUGCUACCGGCUUAGGUUCGAACCUGUGGAGUCACACAUAUUAGAGGUUCUUAUCUGAUCUGAUGGCUGAUGUAGAAUCUUACAUAUUUGGGACUCAGUGAUCAAGAAUCAGGAUUCUCUAAUCACGAGUUCCACACAUUAUGGGUACCGGGGUCAAGAGUCCCACUGGUUUGGGACUCUUCGAUCAGGGUUACAUAUCGAUGAAUUCUGAUGCUCGAUUAUCCAUCGGAUUUGGACUCAAUAUUUAUGAGAGGUUUAAUUAGUAAUUUGAUCACUAAUUAACUCAAUUUGAUUGAGUAAUUAUUUUUGGAUCAAGUCCAAUUGAAUUAGAUUCAGUUGGGUUUGACUCGAUUAGGUUAAGAGUUGACCUAAUCGUCGAGAUGGUUUGGUCCCUGAUUUGAUCAGGGGUUGGGCUUAAUCAAUUCCUGAUUUGAUUAGAAUUUUAUUG